rnacentral:rRNA from 1 species
CUAGCCGUAAACGAUGUGAACUUGGCGUUGGUGGGUUCAAAUCCAUCAGUGCCGUAGCAAACGCGAUAAGUUCACCACCUGGGGANUACACGAAGAACCUUACCAGGGUUUGACAUGCAAGUGGUAGAGAAGCGAAAGCGGAUCGACCCCUCGGGGAGCUUGCACAGGUGU